GCUUCCCCGCCGCGCCCUCAGCCCAGGCUGCCUUGGGGGCUGGGCGCGGCACUUCCUGCUCCGGGGCCCCAGCGCCCCGCGCCCCCAGCCCGCGGUGAUCCCGCGGUGGAAGCUGUCGGUGCUGCCGGGACGGGUGCUGGGCCCUUGCUUUCCGUUCGGGGCUGCGCUCCCCUCCCCAGGAAUCUGCUGCUCCCUUCCAAAAUAAUGGGCGUGGGGGCCGGCGGGGGGAGGAGUGUGUGGUUGUGCGUGUGGUUGUGUGUGUAGUAUGUAGUUGUAGGUGUGGAUGUGCAGCGUUGCACGCUGUGUCUGCAGUCAUCCCGGCUCGCAGGAGAUCCCCCCCGCCCCGUCCCUGUGCAGUUCCCACGUCUCAUGCCUUUGCCCUCCUCCCCCCUCCCCCAACCUCCCCUCUUCCUCUCCUUGGGGAGGCUGAACCCUUGCAUAGACUCGCCCCAAAAGAAUCUGAGCCGAGGGUUCUUAGAGAUGAAGAGACGGGGGAAACAGGUUUCCACUGCUCUUUGCUCCGAUUGGGGGCCGGUUGCCCUCUCGUCGUCGUCUGCGUUCCCUGAGCUGGGAGGCUCUCGCGGGAGUGGUGGCGGGUGUUCCUUAAAGGGUUGUAAGCAUUGUCUGAAGGGCGGUGGUGAGAGCAGGCAGUCCGAGAGGGCUCUCUAUUCUUUCUCACACCAGGGCUCCAAGAACACUGUGUCCAAGGGUGUGGUUUUCCUCCUUGAAGAUAACCUUGAAGAUACCCUACAAACGUUCUUAUUUUCCAUAUUAACCCAUUAUAGGAGGGGUAUAAUGCGAUUGUUCAAAUCUUUCUUAGAAAAGUUGUUAUUUUCAGUGGUAUUAUCUAAAGAUGUUUAGGUAGUAAGUUCCAUAAAUUAACAACACGGGGGGGGGGGGGAAGCUGGUUGUUGUCUUAUUUGUGCAGAACUUUCCUUUUUCAAGUGCCAAGGAGUAUUAGCAAGCUCUGUUAAAGUGGGAUUUGGUGGAAACAUCUAAAUUCUGUCCACGUCUUCCCUAUUUUCUCUGCUUUUCUUGCAUUCCCUCAGUGUGUUUGGAAGAGAAGGAAGAGCAUUUAGGCUUAUGAAUUUGAUAUCCCAAACCCCUUGUGUGGCCUUGGGCAAGUCUUUCCUACUCCUCCAUUUCUUCAUCUGGAAAACAGCUUUAGCAUAAAGCCUAAGUGAGCUAAUAGAACAGGCAUCAAGUGGAAGCCUAAUAGGGCAGCCCCGUGAGACUGCCACACUCAUACUUCCUUAGUGUAUCAGUCAUCUAGCUCUAGAGUAUGCUGUGUAACAAACUACCCCCAAACCCAGUGCCUUAAAAUAUUAAUCAUUUAUUUUUGCUUGUUCAUCUACAGGUCAGUCAGCUGCUGCUGGUUUGGACCAGGCUGGGCUUGGUUGCAGGUUGCCAGCUGAAUCUAGGUCUGCAGGACCAGGAACUAGCUGGUGCUUAUUCUUCUCAAGGUCCUGGGAGUUUACUCCGUGCAUCUGGGAGAUAGGAAAAGAGGAAACAAAUACAAGACUGCACUGGAGUUUUUAUGGACCAGUCUUAGAGUUGUGAAACAUCCUCCUUUUGGGUACCAGUUUUGCCAGCCUGGAGAAUAGCUGCACGAGUCUCGCACAAAGGAGCCAGCUGCCAUGUUGUGAGCAGUUCUACGGAGAGGACCACGAAGUGAGGGAGCGCCAGUCUGUGGCCAACAGCCAGUGAGGAGCUGAGGCGAUCAACAAGCGAGUUUGGAAGCAAGUCCUCCGGCCCCAGAUCUCAGUGGAAAGCCUUGAGGUCCUGGAUUUUGCCUGCCACCGAUCUGUGCGUGAAGUUUGCUCUGUGCACCAGUGCUUGCUAAUGUGUUCAAUCCUUUAUUGUCUACACCUUUUGUCUUAGUCAUGAGGGCUGACAUGACAGAAUACUAUAGACUGAGUAGCUUAUAAACAAUAGAAAUUUAUCUUUCACUAUUCUGGAGGUGGGACAGUCCUAGCUGCUGGCAGGUUCAGUGUCUAGUCAGGAUGUGUUUCCUGGUUCCUAAACGGCCAUCUUAUCACUGUGUCCUCACCUAGUAGAAGGGGAAAGGCAACUCUCUGGGGUUUCUUUUAUAUGGACAUGAAUCCCAUUCACGAGGGCCCCACCUUCAUGACCUGAUCACCUGCCAAAGGCCCACCUCCUAAUACCAUCAUCUUGGAGAUGAGGACCCAAACAUUCAGCCUAUGGCACCAGUGUUCCAUGUUGAUAAAACUCUUCGAAGAGUCACUCUGAUGCAAGAAAAUUAUACCUAAGAACAAAUGAGGCUUUGUUCCUUAGGUUGUGAAUUUUUUGUCUCUAGGGCAUGGUAUUAGAUAAUGAGGAGGUAUGGGUCACACAUGGGGUUAGGAAAUGAUGAAUAGAAGGAUUACAGAGAAAAUAAGAACAUGUAUUCUUAUUUCUCCAUUAAGUCCAUCGAGAUUUGUCUGAGUAUCUGUGCUGAGUAUCUGUGAUAUAGAGACGAGUAAGCUGUGGUUCCUGUCCUAAGGAUCAUACAGUCUAGUGGACGACAUGGAUUUGAAAGAAACCUAAAAUGUUGGUGGAAUCAAAUAGAGCCAGUGUAAGAGUAACGACUGCGGAUGCCAUGGAGCAGGGAUCGGCCGUCCCUGUCAAGCGCUGUCGGAUUUCCUAGCCAACAGAAAUCGUGACUCUCAUACCUGGAUGUCGUUUUAAACCACUGAAUUUUGGGGGAUGAUUUGUUACGUAGAGUAAACUGGGGCACAUGGUGAAAAUCUCUCUCCCCCCUCCAAGCCCCAAAUCUCCCAUUUCCUUCCUUGGGAGCAAUCCCUGCUACUGGUCUUUUGUGCACUCUUUCAGAGAUGCUGGCAUUACAUAUGUGCGCACAUAUAUUCCUUUAUUUUCACAAAAGAUAAUGUAUUAUCACACGGGAUAUUGAUUUGGGGGUUACAAAUGAAUUUUAACAAGUAAGUGAAUUCUCUAAUAGGGAAUCCAUGAGAAAUGAAGAUUGGCUGUUUUCAUUAAAAGUAUCAGUUAAAUUUUAAAAUGUUAAGAUGUUCAUAUAUAUUUUCAAUGAUAUUUUCUCUUAAAAUAUUAUCUAGUAUUCGAAAGUGAAGUACAAAUAAUUAUUAAUGAAUUUCAAAAUUGUAAGCCAGCAUUAUAUUUUAUUUUAUUUUAUUUUAUUUUAUUUUAAUUUAAUUUUAUUUUA